CAUUAAUACCAGGGGGAGCCCUUGUUGUCUUGACCCCCCAUCUAUACCGAGUCCACGACCAGAUCGAGCUAAUUCGGGCACAAACCCGUCGAGGAGAGAGAGAGUGAGUGAGUGAGUCAUGCGUCGCCGGGAGUGCCCUAGACCGUGUAUUGGUUGUUCAAGCGGGGGAGCCGCACAGGAACUCCCACGUCGCAUUGGACAAGCUAUUCGUGGCAUCAUCAGUCGAGGGACGGUGAUCGAGCGGUGGGAUUUCUCGCCGGGCAGUGGUGGUUGGCGCGGGGUUCCCCUCAUUGGAGGCAGUAGAGUCUACGCAUCCGAUCUAGGUGAGGACUCCUCCCUCUAAUUCGUUACGGCCUCCUCCAUGAAUAGUGCGCAUCUAGCGAAUGUUAGGAAGCGAGGAUGAUCACUGGGGCAUCGCUAGUAAUGUCGCAGUUGUGGGUGAAAGGGCCGGCACUGCUUGGCCUACCGCGUAGGAAGAAGAUGAAAUCGUGGCCGUCGAUUUCCUCGCAGACGUGCCUGAUCAGGGCUCGAAUUAGAGAUGGCCAAACGGGCCGCCCGGCCCGGCCCGGCCCGGGCCCGGUGAAGCCCGGCCAAAAACCGGGCCGGGCCUGCUGUGCCAUCGUGCUCAAGUUUCUGUCCAAGCCGGCCCGCAGCGGGCCUAAACGGGCCGGGCCGGCCCGUUUAGCACGAAAAAAACGGGCCGAAAACGUGCUAAACGGGCCGGUAAGCACGUUUUAGUGUAAAAAAACCGGGCUUAACGGGCUUAGAGGUAAACGGGUCGUGCCGGGCUAGCCUGCCGUGCCUAGUUUCCUGUCCAAGCCCGCCCGCUUAUUCUACCGUGCCGGGUUCGGACCGGGCCCAAAAACCGGGCUUCGUGCCGGGCUCACGGGCCUCGUGCUUUUUGGCCAUCUAUAGCUCGAAUACCCUUCGAGUAAAUAGAUCUGGGCCUCGUGUCUGAAAUUGUGUGGGCUAAAUUAGAUCCUGGUCUUUUAAAUCUGGAGCGUAGACGAUUGGUCCAACUGUCCUUGAUGCUAGAUACCCCUUCGCAUGGCAUAUUUAGUAAAGAGCCCCUCAGCUUUUCCGAAACUAACCCACCAUCCCUAACAGUUGUAAAACCAUUGCACCUAAGUCCAAACUCUUCCGAAAUAGACCUUGACCUUGUAAUAAAUAAUACACGCAGUCCAUUUUAAUUCAUAAUAAAUGAAUAAAGCCCUGGGAAUUGAUUUUUGGAAUAAAAACAAUUCCUAGAACUUUGAAAAUCCAUAACUUGCUCAUUUUUUCUCCAAUUUGAUCCAUUCAAAUUGUGUUAACUUCGUAAUAAUGUUGCCUACAUCUCCGUAACAUUACUUUAUCAAAUAACAUGGUUUCAAAAAUAAAUAUUCAUUUAACCUAUGUUUAGUGGAUUAACCCUUCUAAACAAAGUUAAUAUAUCCAUAAUUAUAGUGUGACUAAAAUAUAACCUCUAUGCAAAUUAUAAACUAGAUUAAAGAUAAAUUAGUUAUUUAUUUGUCAUAACCUUCCGACUUAUAUUAAUCAAUUAAGAUUAAAAGAUUUACUAUUUAACCAUCUAAAACUUGAGAAUAUUAUAUCUUUUAACCGUAACUCCGAUUUUAGUCGUUCUCGAACCCACGACCUCGUAGCAACGUGUAGAUUAUUAUUAUUGCAUAUUGUGCUUGUGUUUGUUGUGAUGUUAAUUUUGCCUAUACCAUGUUUGUUUGUAUUGCUACGUUUAGCAGUGAGGUCACGAGUCACCUGAAGAUCAUCCUGGUACCUGGAAUCUCAAGUCCAGGCAAGUUGUGCCCUUGACCACUUUUAUUGUCCAAUAAUGUUCUUUAUUAUCACUUAUUCAUGCAUAGGCUUAAUUUUGAUGGGACCUAAUAGGUCACCCUAGUUUGGUUAUCUUGUUACCUUGUUUACCCCUGAACGAUUUGGGUAGUUUUGCUAUUGCUCUAUAUGGUUUUGGGUUUAAUAUUACAUCAUGUUCAUGUUCCAAUUAUACUAUUAUUUUAUUUAUUGUUCAUGACAAGAUCAUUAUAUUAAUUAGAACAUGGAGCUUAACUUGAGAAACACGUGCCACCACAAGGGUGGAAUGAGAUGCCUUGGCUGACUAACUAGGAAAGCUAGUGGAGGACUACCUUACCCGAUAUGGACAAGGGCAGUAGGGGAGUAGGCGUGUAGGGAGGUUCCCGGGUUGAUUUUGCUGCGAUGGCGAUCAGACGAGGGAUUCCUUUAUUGCUCUUCCUAGAACUGUAGCGGGUUUUCUAAAGCUAAUGGAACUUUGUAAAGGCCUCAUAGUGGAUCCCCAGCCAUUCACCUCGGUAGUUUUUAAGGGUCUAGCUAACCAUGGCGACAUGGGAUACAUGACUUGUGGGUACAGGGUACAACCUCUGCAGAGUGUAAAACUGGUAUACUAGUCAUGCUCGCGGUCAUGAGCAGCUCAGGACUCUCGCAUGAUUAAAUUAUGGAACUAAAUUCAAUUUGUCAGUUGCAUUGCAUGGGAUUUUUUUAUUAAUUUUGUUCUAUUAUUAUUAUGGUUUGGUAUUUACUUACAUUUAGUAUCUGCUAAUAAAAUUUGACCAACUUAUUAAAAGCAAUGCUCAGCUUUAACCCCUAUUAUUGAUCAGCCUUACACAUCACAUGAACUCUCACCUUUGGUGAGUUCAUGCACAUUAUUCCCCACAACUUGUUGAGCGAUGAAUAUAUGUGAGCUCACCCUUGCUGUCUCACACCCCCCACACACACAGGUCAAGAACAGGUACCACAGGAUGAGGCGCAUGGAGGAUACUGUGAUGUUUUCAUGAGAGGUCUAGGUCGUCGUCUUCCAGUUAACAUUGGGUUGCUGGAUCAUUGUCUCCUGACGAUGUAAUUAUUUAUUUAUUUUGUACAGAACUCCUAUUAUAAAGUAAAGUUGUGACAUUUGUUUAUGUACCAUGAUUGAUCAUAUGUGUGAGACUUGGUCUCAGCACACCUGGUGAUUAUGUUCGCACCUGGGUCCCUAAAACCCGGGUGUGACAUUAGCUCAACUAUUGCUUGCCACAUGGCGUCGAGCAUGUAACCACGAAACAUGAUAGGGAUAAUUCUCUCCAUUAAUAUAUGGAAGUCAUGGCUCUUUAACCCAGUUAGUUUUCCUGUUUUCAAAUUCACAACUCUUUUCAAGCCCAUAGCAUAACCAUCGGGAAAUUUAAUUUUUUUCAUCCAUCUCAUUACCUCGAUCUUGUCCUUAGAGGUAAGACAGAACAAGGCAUGUGGCGGCUUGCUGUUGUCAUUGAGCACUUGGGUUGGUCGGUCAUAAAGCAUUGCUAGUUCUCUUCGAGUUUUCAGAUUCUCCUUUGUUUUUUCAAAAUUCAUGCAGGUGUGUAUGAGGGCUUCAGCAACAUUACUUUCUUGGUGCAUGACAUCAAUGUUGUGCAUAAGAAUCAAUGACGGCAUAUAA
rnacentral:lncRNA from 1 species